AGCUUUGCGCAGUGGCAGUAUCGUAGCCAAUGAGGUUUAUCUGAGGCGCGAUUAUUGCUAAUUGAAAACUUUUCCCAAAAUAUUGAAUGACCAAAGUUAAGAAAGAAAAGCUUUAUUUAGC
rnacentral:snRNA from 1 species